GGUCAGGAAGUAGUUUAUUUUCACUGAAACUGAAGGAGGAAGUUAGAAAAACGGCUGCAACUAGAUCAAUUCGGAAAAGCCAGGUUUUCUAAGAGUUUACCUUCUCUGACCUUACACCAGAAUACAGGUCAUAAGCGAGGAGAAGUGAACUUUGAGCGUCUUUGGGGACAGAGAAAUGUGUGUGUGGAGGAUCAAACUUUAUGAAGAAGACACUCCAUGAAGCAUCAGACAGAUAUUUGAGAACAUGGAAAGUAUCACUGUGGGGAUUAAACUGGAUGAAAAAUAAAGCAAC